rnacentral:rRNA from 1 species
AACGAACGCUGGCGGCAUGCCUAACACAUGCAAGUCGAACGAGACCUUCGGGUCUAGUGGCGCACGGGUGCGUAACGCGUGGGAACCUGCCCUUAGGUUCGGAAUAACUCCCCGAAAGGGGUGCUAAUACCGGAUAAUGUCUUCGGACCAAAGAUUUAUCGCCUUUGGAUGGGCCCGCGUUGGAUUAGCUAGUUGGUAGGGUAAAAGCCUACCAAGGCGACGAUCCAUAGCUGGUCUGAGAGGAUGAUCAGCCACACUGGGACUGAGACACGGCCCAGACUCCUACGGGAGGGAGGAGUGGGGAAUAUUGGAAAAUGGGCGAAAGCCUGAACCAGCAAUGCCGGGGGAGUGAUGAAGGCCGUAGGGUUGUAAAGCUCUUUUACCCGGGAUGAUAAUGACAGUACCGGGAGAAUAAGCCCCGGCUAACUCCGUG